AUGGGCGGUGCUCGCCAGGCGGAGUCCUCGGCUGCUAUCGCGGCGGAGCUCGCGAGUUGGGCACGGGACCUCAAGGCCAGGGCUGGUGCCGGGGGUGGAGGCCGGCGGAGGCCUGCGGGGGUGACGGGGCCGGGGCCGCCGGUGGCCAGCGGGGGCGACGGGGCGUGGAGGCUGCCGGGGGCGACGAGCGACGGGGCUUGGAGGCCGGCGGAGGCCUGCGGGGGUGACGGGGCCGGGGCCACCGGGGACGACGAGCGACGGGGCUCAGAGGCCGGCGGGCGAGACGAUGGCCAGCGUUGCCCGGGCCGGCCGGCGAGAUGGCGGCCAGCGAGGUGGAGGUGGGCGCCGGCAGGCCUACGGUGGCGACGGGGGAAGUGGCCGCGGCCACCAGGCAAAGUGGUUGCCGGCGAGGCAGGGAACGGGGGGUGA
rnacentral:rRNA from 1 species